rnacentral:tRNA from 1 species
UUGAGUAGGCGGGUAAGUAUUUCCGCCUGUCACGCGGACGACCCGGGUUCGAUCCCCGGCAACAGCGCCA